AAAAAGCACCGGCUAACUACGUGCCAGCAGCCGCGGUAAUACGUAGGGUGCGAGCGUUAAUCGGAAUAACUGGGCGUAAAGGGUGAGUAGGCGGUUUAGUAAGAUAGUUGUGAAAUUCCCGCGCUUAACGUGGGGACUGCGGCUAUGACUGCUAAACUAGAAUAGAACAGAGGAAAGUGGAAUUCCACGUGUAGCAGUGAAAUGCGUAGAGAUGUGGAGGAACACCAAUGGCGAAGGCAGCUUUCUGGGUUACUAUUGACGCUCAGUCACGAAAGCGUGGGGAGCAAACAGGAUUAGAUACCCUAGUAGUCC
rnacentral:rRNA from 1 species